AGGGUUGCGGGGUGAAGGGGUGGAGGAGGUGGUGCUGCUGUCUUGAGGGCAAGGGCUCGCUGGCGCUCCCCUCCCCCGGCCUGCCGGGAGUGCGCGGCUCGCCCAGGCGGCGGAAGACGGGCGGGUGGCCCGGCCUUGAGAUGCUUCAUGCCGAAAGUAGAGUAACUCUCUUGGAGUGUCAGGACGAAAUCGUUAUUGAACCAUGUUCUAAAAAAAUGAAGUCAACAGAAGAGGCCUAUGAGAACCUCUCUGCUGGUGAUAACCAAGGUAUUCAGGAAGAAGUGGAUACUGAAACAACAUCGAAUGACUUGAUACCAGCAGAUGCCUCAGAUAACCAAGGGCAACAUGAAAUGCAGAAGCAAGAGAAAAUACCUACACAUGUCUUGGGGACACUGAAUAAAGUGCUCCCCGAAAAUAACCUGGUUCAUUUGGAAACUGUAAAUCCUCAGUUUGCAUCAAUAAAUGACACUAAAGCUGAAGAAAAAGGCCCUUUUAUUACAAAUAAUACUGGUGAAGAUAAAAUUAAAAAUAGCAGUACAUCAUUCUCAGUAAAUAGAAAUGCAUCAGAUGAAGAUUUUUUUACAAGCAAAGAAUUUAUCGGACCAAUUUACAGGCCUGCCGGAAGUAACAAACAGGACAAAUCUGACAGUUGUAAUGAAAGCAGUGAGGGAGACCAGAAUGGAUUGCAUGAAAACAGAGCUAUAAGGAAGGAGGCAAAGAAGAUGCAGACUGUUUCUUCUGCUGUACCAGAAAUAGAUGAUGAACUGGACCAGUUCUAUAAAGAAAUUCACCAGCUGGAAAAUGAAAAUUUAGAUACCAAUUUUCAGGAGAAAGAAACUGAAACUUCUCAGGAACAAUGGUCUCCAUAUGACUGUAGUCAGAUGUCACAAGAGCAUCAUCAACACAUGUUGUUGGGCAGCCCACAACCAUUUUAUGGGAAUGGACAGUGUUUCUUUGAGGAACAGAGCAGUGAGAAAACAAGCAACAAGCAGCAGUUUGUCGUGGAAACAAGUGGCUGGAAAACUGAAAAUACCUUUGAUAGACAAGAGGAUUCUAAAUAUUGGAACUAUUCAGUGUCUGAAUUCAGACCUGCUUGGCAAUCAGCAGAGUCCUUCGUAAUACCUCAGGGAUCUUUUCCUCCUAGAUUCAACCAUCAAUCACAUUUUCAGAUACUUCAUUCCCCGCCACAAAAACCUAAUGUUCUCCCUUCUCAGAAUGGUUACCUUUCUUAUAAAAAUUAUCGUGGUUACGACGGAGAUAGUGAUAUUAACAGUCAUGGUCCAUUGCUUGAUCAGAGUAUCAAUGGUGCAGGUCAUACUGAUGCCCGUACUACUCAGGUCUUCAGAAAUGGAAAUAAUGACCAGAAUGGACUGCAAAAUAAUGGUUUCUGUGAAACCAGAGAAGAGUGUUGGAAGGAUCCAAAAGCUGCCGAUACAGAAGGAAUGCACAGUUUUUCUUCGUUGCAGUUAACUGAAGAAAGGUCUAGUUGUUCACAGAAAUUGCUCCUCAUUUUAAGAGGCCUGCCUGGUUCAGGGAAAACAACACUUUCUCGUGUUCUGCUUGGUCAAAGUCAUGAUGGCAUUGUGUUCAGCACCGAUGAUUAUUUUCGUCAGCAAGAUGGAUAUACAUAUAAUGCUGCUCAGCUUGGUGAUGCCCAUGACUGGAACCAGAAGAGAGCAAAGCAAGCGAUGGAGCAGGGAAAAUCUCCAAUUAUAAUAGACAACACUAAUACUCAAGCCUGGGAAAUGAAGCCAUAUGUGGAAGUGGCUCUAGAAAAGGGAUACAGAGUGGAGUUCCAUGAACCAGAUACUUGGUGGAAGUUUGAUCCUGAAGAAUUAGAAAAGAGGAAUAAACAUGGGGUCACUCGUGAGAAGAUUGCUCAGAUGUUGGAACGAUAUGAAUAUCAGAUAUCCAUACCUAUUGUCAUGAAUUCAGUGGUGCCUCCCCACAAAAACACUCAAAGGCCACCUCUUCAGCGACGACAUAGGGAGACAAUUUUAAAGAAGAACCAUGGGCACCUGUUUACAAAAGCAAAGCAGAGGGGAAAGAGAAAAAGAAACAAAAAAAUUAAAGGUAAUCAUACAGAAAUCACAAAGAAAACGUUAGGUGGAGCAGCUCAUCAUCCAAUUCCAGAUGACCAGGACACAUCAGGAAGUGAAGAGGAUUAUUUGGAAGAAGAAAACAGCAAAUCAUUCAGUGAAGGUCCAGACGAUUCAGUAACAGUUUGUGAAGAACAGCCUAAUGGUGAUGAUGAAAGCCUGAAGGAACCUGCAGGGGUUUCAAGAGAAAGGUUUCCCAUCACUCUGUCUGAGGUCUCAACAAUGACCAACAGUACAUUGAAAAAUAAAUUGCCUGUGGAAAGUGACAGUUCACUUCUAAUAGGUCUAAAACCUUUUUCUACAGAAAACCUGACAAAAAAUGCAGUAGAUGAUGAGGAAACAAAUGAAAGGCACAUAGAAAAUCUUUGCAGAAGCAGUUUCCUAAAAAUAAGCAAUGAGAAAAAUUCUAUCCAGGAAACAGACGCCAUCUCUGAAGACUGUAACACGCUGCUGUUAAGCAUAGAAAACAAACUUGGAUCACAUCAAAGUACAUCUGAACCUGAUAUGGAAGCUAAGCCGUUAAGUUUAAAUGGUGAAAGAAAAGAAAUCUUACAGUGUCACAAUUCAAAUAUACAUGUUAAUGUGCCUGAUAAUAACACAAGGGACACACCUGCAUUAAAAGCAAAAGAGAAUAGCUCUAAUGCCUGGGCUUUUUUUCCAAUUAAUUUCCAAUUACCGACUGAGGAAUUGCAGCUGUGCUUUGAUACACAAAUUUCUCUCUCUCCUUGGUCUGAGAAUAAAUUUGUAGCUGAACAAAGACCCCCCAGAAUGAGAAAACCUAAACAGACUCAUCUGAACAAUUCGAAACAACUAAACUGCUAUUGGUCAAAUGAAGGAUUGGUGAAGGAAAACAGUCAGGUAACAGUAACUGAGGAGGCUGGCAAUGUAACAAGUAAUGGUCUGUCAGCAUCUGCAGCUGGUGAAGUGCACUUUGAUUCCCUUGUGGAAGCCAGGGCCACCUUCAUGCAGUGUUCAUGUGAAGUAAAUGUUCCAAGAAAUGAUGCUGCACCAACUGCAUCAAAGAGAAAAAGAUACAGAAGAAUUGUCAAAUUGGCACCAAAGUUUAAUCUACCAAGACAGAUUGCUGGUAGUACAGAUGGAGGGAAGGGAGUCUCAAUAAAAGAUGAUGUUCCCCAGAAAAGUGUUUUGGAAGUGGGGAAAAAGAGCUUUCUAUGCAAGAACUGCAGAGAGGAAUGUGAACAGGACCAUGCAUUGCAGGAAUAUUCUGCACCUUACAGUGGCACCGAGGCAACUCAUUCCUUACCCACCCCAGACUCAGAUACUCUGUUACAUCAUAUUUCCUGCUUUCACUCAGGACAGUCUUCUUCUAUGCCAAAAUAUUCCUGCAGAGUUUGUGUAGUUUCCAGGAUGCAGGAGCAAGCUAGAACUCUAAAGCAACAACAGGUAGUUGAUAAAAAAGAGGGCGAGAGCGAACAAGUUUCUUCAGAGGUUACAAAUAGCCAACCGGAUAUUUUGUCGUCUGUGAAAGUUGUUUCUGAAUAUUCAGAAGAUUCCAGUAUGCUGUCAAGCUGCAGAGACAAUGCGCAGGAAGCAGGUGACCCUGAGCCAGCAGAGGCCUCACAACUCAAAGAUAAUCAAGAUGGGAAUACGACAUGUAGUUUUCUGGGACUUCCCUUAUCAUUAGGAUUUGCUUUUCAACUUGUGCAGCUCUUUGGUUCUCCAGGUCUUCCACUGGGAAAAACAGAAAACAAGUGGGUUGCAGGAUAGAAAUGCCUUGGCUGACGAUUUUAUUAGUCUUGAAGAUCUAAAUAAAAAUCACCAAGAGAAUCAAGACUCUUCUGAAACACUUGCAGAAGUGGAAGUGGCACUGUUUCAAGGGAUGAUAGAGGAGAACACCAUGGCCUGCGCUACCACUGGCUGUGUGGAUGCUGUGACUCAUCAGUCAUGACUGACCAUAUUAAAUUCUGCAUGAUGGAAAAGAAACUUCUCUCUUUGAUUGCGCCAUGGAAGGACAUCAGUUGGCCACCAAGGAUUUUAAAUGUGAAGAGUAACCUGGAAGGAAGAAUCCACUGUAGAUUCUUGGCAUGAAUCUUUGGCCAACUUCUCCACAGCCCCCCGACAGCAAGCUCUCUGUCCACAUAUUAAAAAUCAAAAUUGAGAUAACUUUGUGUGUGCCAAAAGGUCACUUUCUGAAACCCUUUGGGAUUUAUACCUUCUUAGUACAUCUUCAAGUGCGGUGCAAAGAGAUUGAGAUAAGAGACCAGUAAGCAGAAAGCAGAUGUCUGUCAGCAUGAAGUGUGAGCUUCAGGCUCUGGUAUUUAAUUCACUUGUAUCAGGAUCCAAGAUCCACAGUUGCCACAUCAACUGGCACAUGAACUGGUAGUGAUGCCUACCUGCAGGGAAAGGUGCCUGUUAUGUGUCUUACCCUACUUUUGCCUUUCAUCCUGCCACUCAUAAUCACAUCCCAGUCUAUUUAUAACCUCAGGUGGAAUGUUUUCAUCACUCACUCCUAUUCUUUCACCCAGAGGUGCACAACUUACCACUUUUUCUUCUGAAACCAGGCUUAAUGCUUCCCUUCAACUAGACUCAUUUGGGACUAUACAAGUAAGGAGAAAAUUUCACUAUAGAUCUGAUUCAAACACACUGGAGGAAAGACGCGUAUGGAUUGUGGUAGGUUGAUAAGCCCUAUAAGUAAUGAGUGAUUUGAUAUUUCUGUUCGUGGUAUUGCUUUUACCAUUUUUUACUUAAAUUCUUACGAUUUAAGCCUGAAGCAGUUGUUUCCUUUUUUUUUUUUUUUUUUCUUUAAUAUUGUGGUUUUCCUUCAAAAUUAAGCAUGGUGUUUGUUCCUCAACUAGAACAGUAACCUUACUAGUAGCACUUCUGUUACUGAGGAAAUUGUCCCAAUAACAUGAGUGGAGUAUUGAUUUCCAGGGGGAGAUGAGCAGCAGAAAUGAAUGAACCCCUGACAGUAAAAGCUGAAAUUUUCCUCAUGGAAAUGUCAAUGUAAGGCCCCCACAGAUAUCAGGAAAGCUGGAAAUAUUUAUAUGUGUAGAGCAAGCUAAACUAGAUAGAUGAUGAAUUUAAUCCCAAUUUAAUUUGCUGAAAUAGCAAAUAAAGAAGGUGAGACAGGCAAUGGAGAAUGGAGGGAGGUGAAAGGACAAAUGAAAUUACA